rnacentral:rRNA from 1 species
CACGCAGGCGGUCUGGUAAGUUUGGAGUGACAGUGCCCGGCUCAACUGGGCAAGGCCUCUGAAGACUGCUGGACUUGAGAACCAGAGAGGGACAUAGAAUUCCGGGUGGAGUGGUGAAAUGCGUAGAUAUCCGGAGGAAUACCAAAGGCGAAGGCAGUGCCCUGGCUGGUUUCUGACGCUCAGGUGCGAAAGCUAGGGGAGCGAACA